UCCCUCUCCGCCCAGCGUCCCAGCGCCAUCCUGGAGUCAGGUCCUUCAGGCGGCCUCGUUCCCACAAACCUCGGCGGAACAGGCGUUCGUUCUCUCCCAGACAGACUUAUGGAGGAACCACGCAAAGGACGCCCCUCCCAGGAUGAGGUGGGCAGCAAGGGAAAAAAAAGCUAAUUCUGAGGAAAGAACAGACCCCUUAAAAAAAAGAGUGCCAAGAGGAGGCUGGGACUUUGGGAUGGAGGAGGGGCAGAAAAGCCUCAGAGAGCGGCAGUGCAGGGUCUGUUCAGAGCUGGAGAGCAGAAUUCCAGGGAACAGUGCAGGCGGCCAGGGUGGGAAGCACUUGGGCCAGAAGCUGGAGGAGAACAUCCUCCAAACCCUCAGCCCGGAGCAGCAAGCCCAGCACCCGCCCGCGGGGCGCAGCACCCAGGAGGAAACGGAAGACUCCCAGCUCUGCUUUCAAGGUCGAAAGGUCACGGGGCGGAGCCAGGCAGAGGUCACAGCUCUCCAGGCCACACAUCGAGCUCCUAGCGGCGCCCGGGGCUCCCCCUUGUGGCGGAGACACGCAGGCACAGCGUCUGGACAUCUGGGGUCCAGCAACCAUCUGCUGAGAGCACUUGGGAGCCUGCUCUGCAGAAUUUCUGGACUGGAUAGGGAUCUCAGAAGUGAUGGGGAACUCACCCCCUCCAGGGACAACUGCAGAGUGAGGUGCUGCCCUUGUCGCCGUGUCUGUGGGGCCAGCCCCUGCCCUCCCCGACCCUGCUGGACCCUCCCUGCCCACUCACCAGCACACGCUCCCAUCCUGAGGAAGGGGAGGAAGAAGAAAGUAUUUUUUCUUUAAAAAUUGUCUGAUUAUAAGCAGAAAUCAUUAUAAUGAGAGCAAACACCUAUAUAGCACUGUGCAGCAAGCCUGUUCGAAGUCUUUUAGAUGCAUUAACUCAUUUAAUCCUCCUAACAUUCGCAAUGUAGAAAAUUUGUAAAACAAAAUUACAAG
rnacentral:lncRNA from 1 species